CUUGCUCUUAUGAAGUUAGCGGCGGACGGGUGAAGUAACACGUGGGUAACCUGCCCAUAAGACUGGGAUAACUCCGGGAAAACCGGGGCUAAUACCGGAUAACAUUUUGAACCGCAUGGUUCGAAAUUGAAAGGCGGCUUCGGCUGUCACUUAUGGAUGGACCCGCGUCGCAUUAGCUAGUUGGUGAGGUAACGGCUCACCAAGGCAACGAUGCGUAGCCGACCUGAGAGGGUGAUCGGCCACACUGGGACUGAGACACGGCCCAGACUCCUACGGGAGGCAGCAGUAGGGAAUCUUCCGCAAUGGACGAAAGUCUGACGGAGCAACGCCGCGUGAGUGAUGAAGCUUUCGGGUCGUAAAACUCUGUUGUUAGGGAAGAACAAGUGCUAGUUGAAUAAGCUGGCACCUUGACGGUACCUAACCAGAAAGCCACGGCUAACUACGUGCCAGCAGCCGCGGUAAUACGUAGGUGGCAAGCGUUAUCCGGAAUUAUUGGGCGUAAAGCGCGCGCAGGUGGUUUCUUAAGUCUGAUGUGAAAGCCCACGGCUCACCGUGGAGGGUCAUUGGAAACUGGGAGACUUGAGUGCAGAAGAGGAAAGUGGAAUUCCAUGUGUAGCGGUGAAAUGCGUAGAGAUAUGGAGGAACACCAGUGGCGAAGCGACUUUCUGGUCUGUAACUGACACUGAGGCGCGAAACGUGGGGAGCAAACAGGAUUAGAU
rnacentral:rRNA from 1 species